GGAGGUUUGGCCGAGUGGUCUAAGGCGCUGUGUUUAGGUUGAUUCCAGCAAAAUCCGCAGUCUUCGGGUGUGGGUUCAAAUCCCACAGCCUUCA
rnacentral:tRNA from 1 species